rnacentral:lncRNA from 1 species
UCCAUUAAGUCCAACCAUCUACUCAGCACCACCACCAUGCUCACCACUAACAUAUGUUCUCAGGUGCCACAUCCAAAAAGUUUUUGACCACCUCCAGAGAUGGAGACUCCACCUCUGCCCUGGACAGCCUGUGCCAGGGCCUGACAACCCCUUCUGUGAAGCAAUGUCUUGAAGACAAGAAGAACAGAACUGCAUGCCAUCUGUAUCCUGAGCGCAGAACGACUCCUGUGACCAUGCAGCAUCCAGCAAAGAGUUAUGAGCAUUUUCUGUUGCAGCACAAGUAUCUCUGCCUUUGACUGGAGCUCCUUGACAGCUUACAGGACUCCUUCCUCCUCCAAACAUCCCAUUCUAUGCUUGGCAGUAAUUUGGUGCUUGCCCUGAGAAGUAUAUCCUUUGGUUUAAGACAAAUAUCUAAUGCAUAUUUUCCUUUUAUUUUAUUUCUUGUUAUAACUCCACUUUGUGAUCUUCAUGGCAAAAGAGUAAGUAGGUCAUUAGUAGAUACAUCAAAUUAGCCUGGAGAAAUUAGCCUGGGGAAAAGGAGGCUCAGGGAGGACCUUGUGGUUCUCCACAACUCCAUGACAGGAGAGUGCAGCCAGGUGGGGGUCAGGCUGUGCUCUCAGGGAACAAGGGACAGGAGGAGAUAAACAGCUUCAACUUGUUCCAGGGGAGGUUCAUGUUGAAUAUUAGGGGGAAAUUCUGCCUAGAAAGGGUUGUGAAGCUCUGACACAGGCUGCCCAAUGCAUUGGUGGAGUCACUGUCCCUGGAAAUGUCUGAAAAAUACGUAAAUGUGGUACUUAGGGAAACAGACUUGAUGAUCUUAAAAGUCUUUUUUCAACCUAAACAAUUCUGUGAUUCUAGGAAAUGCUAAUGACAGAGUGGGUUGGAGAUGUUACAGCACCAUGUGUACUGAUGAUCAGCCUAGGCAGUAUUCUACUCUCCCAAAGCUUCACAAACUGACAACUUUUUCUUCAAGAUGUCAGUUCUUGAAGAAAAAAAUUGACUCCUUUAUCAGAGCUCCUGACCUGGACCCAGUGCAGAUAAGCCUCAUGCUUUCAGAAAGAGAACAAAACAUUGAUGUAUCCUUAUAGACAAAAAGCUGCUGAUGAAUUUAUUCAUCCUUGAUGCCAAAGCAGACAUAGUCUUAUGAAACUGAUCAAAAACAUUCUAUGAGCUCCAUUGUCUGCUGAAGUGCUCUCAGUACAUAGAUUAAAAGAGCAAAUCAAAGCAACUCCCUAGUUAAGCAAACUCCGAAUCAGCCCAUUACUUCAAAACCACAAGUCUGAACAAAAGGUCUGUUUUUUUCCUUGGAAAGCAUUAGCAAUGUAUGUCUGUAAUAAAUCACAUGAGAUGUAAAGACA